UGAGGAAUAUUGGUCAAUGGGCGGGAGCCUGAACCAGCCAAGUCGCGUGAGGGAAGACGGUCCUAUGGAUUGUAAACCUCUUUUGUCGGGAGCAAAGAGGCCACGUGUGGUCAAAAGCGAGAGUACCCGAAGAAAAGCAUCGGCUAACUCCGUG
rnacentral:rRNA from 1 species